rnacentral:rRNA from 1 species
UACGGGGGGAGCAAGCGUUGUUCGGAUUUACUGGGCGUAAAGGGCGCGUAGGCGGCCACCGCAAGUCGGUUGUGAAAUCUCUGGGCUUAACCCAGAAAGGUCAACCGAUACUGCGGGGCUAGAGUGCAGAAGGGGCAACUGGAAUUCUCGGUGUAGCGGUGAAAUGCGUAGAUAUCAAGAGGAACACCUGAGGCGAAGGCGGGUUGCUAGGCUGACACUGACGCUGAGUGCGCGAAAGCCAGGGGAGCAAACGGG